AGACACGCACGUAAGUUAAAGCGCCUGUCUAGUAAGCAGGAGAUCCUGGGUUCAAAUCCCAGAGGCGUCUG